AGAUCUGUAAGCUCAAAACGGUAGAGCGCUCGAAGUCCUAUAAUGGGGUUUUGAGAGGUUGGUGGUUCGAAUCCACUCGGAUCUU